rnacentral:rRNA from 1 species
GAUGAACGCUGGCGGCGUGCCUAAUACAUGCAAGUCGAGCGAACAGACGAGGAGCUUGCUCCUCUGACGUUAGCGGCGGACGGGUGAGUAACACGUGGAUAACCUACCUAUAAGACUGGGAUAACUUCGGGAAACCGGAGCUAAUACCGGAUAAUAUAUUGAACCGCAUGGUUCAAUAGUGAAAGACGGUUUUGCUGUCACUUAUAGAUGGAUCCGCGCCGCAUUAGCUAGUUGGUAAGGUAACGGCUUACCAAGGCGACGAUGCGUAGCCGACCUGAGAGGGUGAUCGGCCACACUGGAACUGAGACACGGUCCAGACUCCUACGGGAGACAGCAGUAGGGAAUCUUCCGCAAUGGGCGAAAGCCUGACGGAGCAACGCCGCGUGAGUGAUGAUGGUCUUCGGAUCGUAAAGCUCUGUUAUUAGGGAAGAACAAAUGUGUAAGUAACUAUGCACGUCUUGACGGUACCUAAUCAGAAAGCCACGGCUAACUACGUGCCAGCCGCCGCCGUAA